CGUACACACGUGCUACAAUGGCGUAAACAAAGGGAAGCGAGACGGUGACGUUAAGCAAAUCCCAGAAAUAACGUCCCAGUUCGGAUUGUAGUCUGCAACCCGACUACAUGAAGCUGGAAUCGCUAGUAAUCGCGAAUCAGAAUGUCGCGGUGAAUACGUUCCCGGGUCUUGUACACACCGCCCGUCACACCAUGGGAGUCGGAAACACCCGAAGUCCGUAGCCUAACCGCGAAGGGGGCGCGGCGAAGGUGGGUUCGAUAAUUGGGGUGAAGUCGUAACAAGGUACC
rnacentral:rRNA from 1 species